CUCUCUCCCAGGGGACCUCCCCUUUAGUAGUUAGCUGCCAAUAGAGAGACCAUUUCCAUCCCGGGACAAAACUAGCAGUUUUAGGGGACUGGAAGUCCCACGCAGAUCAUUUUAGCACUUGAGAU